CUACGGAGGGUGCAAGCGUUAAUCGGAAUUACUGGGCGUAAAGCGCGCGUAGGCGGCUGAUUAAGUCGGAUGUGAGAUCCCUGGGCUCAACCUAGGGACUGCAUCCGAUACUGGUCAGCUAGAGUUUUGGAGAGGUAAGUGGAAUUUCCGGUGUAGCGGUGAAAUGCAUAGAGAUCGGAAGGAACACCAGUGGCGAAGGCGACUUACUGGCCAAAAACUGACGCUGAGGUGCGAAAGCGUGGGUAGCGAACAGGAUUAGAAACCCUAGUAGUCC
rnacentral:rRNA from 1 species